rnacentral:rRNA from 1 species
UACGUAGGGUGCGAGCGUUGUCCGGAAUUAUUGGGCGUAAAGAGCUCGUAGGCGGUCUGUCGCGUCUGGUGUGAAAUCCCAUGGCUCAACCAUGGGCUUGCAUCGGGUACGGGCAGACUAGAGUGCUGUAGGGGAGACUGGAAUUCCUGGUGUAGCGGUGAAAUGCGCAGAUAUCAGGAGGAACACCGGUGGCGAAGGCGGGUCUCUGGGCCGAUACUGACGCUGGAGGAGCGAAAGCGUGGGGAGCGAACAGG